rnacentral:rRNA from 1 species
CCUUCGGGGUCCGCAUUGUAAUUUGCAGAGGAUGCUUCGGGAGCGGUCCCCAUCUAAGUGCCCUGGAACGGGACGUCAUAGAGGGUGAGAAUCCCGUAUGGGAUGGGGUGUCCGCGCCCGUGUGAAGCUCCUUCGACGAGUCGAGUUGUUUGGGAAUGCAGCUCUAAAUGGGUGGUAAAUUUCAUCUAAAGCUAAAUAUUGGCCGGAGACCGAUAGCGCACAAGUAGAGUGAUCGAAAGAUGAAAAGCACUUUGAAAAGAGAGUUAAAAAGCACGUGAAAUUGUUGAAAGGGAAGCGCUUGCGACCAGACUCGCUCGCGGGGUUCAGCCGGCAUUCGUGCCGGUGUAUUUCCCCGCGGGCGGGCCAGCGUCGGUUUGGGCGGUCGGUCAAAGGCCCUCGGAAGGUAACGCC